UCCACAGUGCAGGAGCCUGACUUCUUUACAACAGAAGUGGUUGAGAUGAAGGGUCUCUGUUGAUAAUAACUUUGCCUGGGAGUGGCAGAGCUGGCCAACCAUGUUCUCCACGGCUGCUUCUGUUUGUGUCUCAUAACUCUUCUCACAGUCAUCUGAAGCUCGCCCCCAUCCUCAAAUCAGAUUCCUGAGAAGUUACAGGUUUAGCCAAUGAGCCUCUUCCCCCUGUGUGCUAUCUGCCUCAGACUGCUGCUACCUGUGUUGUGAACAUACUGGCCCACAAAGAUGGUCCUUGACUUCUGUUAGGUGAUCUCACUACUCCAGGGCUGAGAGUGGUGCUUCUCUGUGCUCACGCCGCUUAUGCAGCCAAGUGACCGUUUGGGGAUGGGGUGAGGGUGUUUUCUAUGUCUCCCUGUCUUUGGCUCCCUUGCAUUCUGCAGUGAAAUGCUCUCAGACAGCAACUGCACAAGCCCUCCCAGCUCUCUGCAGAAUUCUGUCUGGCAGAUUUCUGUGCUACACCCUGCUCAUAAUGGAUACCUGACAACUAUUUAAGGUGACCAGACAGGAUGACAGCACUACUAGAAGAAACAGCUGCUGUAAACAGGACUUGCUCUGGAAAAGGACGAGAACUCUUUCAUCCUAAGAACUUCAGAUUGAAAAUCUCCAACAAGUUCUGUGGAAAGCCGUGCAGCGUGCAGUGUGCAGCGAGCAAUCACUGUGGAGAGCCGUGCGCA